CGUGUAGGCGGGGGAAAUAAGUCAGAUGUGAAAUACCAUGGCUCAACUGUGGUGCUGCAUCUGAAACUAUGUCUCUUGAGUGAUGGAGAGGAAAGUGGAAUUCCUAGUGUAGCGGUGAAAUGCGUAGAUAUUAGGAGGAACACCAGUGGCGAAGGCGACUUUCUGGACAUUAACUGACGCUGAGGCGCGAAAGCGUGGGGAGCAAACAGGAUUAGAUACCCUGGUAGUCCACGCUGUAAACGAUGGAUACUAGGUGUAGGGGGUAUCGACCCCUUCUGUGCCGGAGUUAACACAAUAAGUAUCCCACCUGGGGAGUACGGCCGCAAGGUUGAA
rnacentral:rRNA from 1 species